GAUGAACGCUGGCGGCGUGCCUAAUACAUGCAAGUCGAGCGAACAGAUGAGGAGCUUGCUCCUCUGACGUUAGCGGCGGACGGGUGAGUAACACGUGGAUAACCUACCUAUAAGACUGGGAUAACUACGGGAAACCGGAGCUAAUACCGGAUAAUAUAUUGAACCGCAUGGUUCAAUAGUGAAAGACGGUUUUGCUGUCACUUAUAGAUGGAUCCGCGCCGCAUUAGCUAGUUGGUAAGGUAACGGCUUACCAAGGCAACGAUGCGUAGCCGACCUGAGAGGGUGAUCGGCCACACUGGAACUGAGACACGGUCCAGACUCCUACGGGAGGCAGCAGUAGGAAAUCUUCCGCAAUGGGCGAAAGCCUGACGGAGCAACGCCGCGUGAGUGAUGAAGGUCUUCGGAUCGUAAAACUCUGUUAUUAGGGAAGAACAAAUGUGUAAGUAACUAUGCACGUCUUGACGGUACCUAAUCAGAAAGCCACGGCUAACUACGUG
rnacentral:rRNA from 1 species